rnacentral:lncRNA from 1 species
ACUAAUAAUGAAGGAAACAAUCAUUUUGUCGCUAAUUGGUUCUUUUGACGAGGAAAUAAUUUCUCGCAGAUUAUAGACUUUUAGUGAUGAAACCUUACUUUUGUCGUCAUAAAGUUUGGCGGGUCUCCCACUAUUUUCCGCCAAAAAAAUAACGAUGAAAUCAUGAUUUCCUCGUUGAAUGUUUAUUUUGCGAUGAAAAAGUUCCUCACCAAAAGUUUAUAUUUCCACGCUAAUAAAAUCACGAAUAAGGAGACCAAAUUAUGAUAAUCUUUGGUGAGGAACUAAAAGUUUUGUCGUAGAAAGUGGUUUAUUGCGAGGAAAAUAUGUUUCUCGUAAAAAACCUAAUGAUAUUUAGUGAGAAACAAAUAUAUUCCUCUUUAAAAAUGACAUUUACUGAGGAAAAUAAAUUCCUCGCAGAAAAUUUGGUCGCUAAAAGGCCUUUCUGUUGUAGUGAAGAUUAAGAAUCUGGGAAGGUUCUUCUCGCUUAAUGCGCUGUAACCGCUCCGUCAAGUUCUUGAAAGCUGCGUCAGUUAAUCCAGGAAUACGAAUUUCCUUAUCGGACAUUCAUAACCCUACAGAAAUGAAAUAACAAAAUAAGAAUAAAAAUUAAACAUAAACAAAGUAACUAAAAUUUAAAAACGAGCUCAAACAUAAAAGGACUUAGAACUAAGUAAACAACAUUUUACAAAGGUUCUAAAUUACAACGAUCUGUUUGAGUUAACAGUUAUAAGUUUUAUAAAUUUUCAAACUCGAAUCUUAAGUGGUAAACCAAUGAUAAAUAGGUAUGAGUGUCUUGAUACAAAUGUUUCCGUGGUUUCAGAAGACUUGAAUGGCCAGGCCGAAGUGAAACGGGCUGGUAGGACUUCGUUUGUAAUGGGCUACGGAGGUUGAAACCCCUAUCGUCCUUACGCACAGUCUAUAACUCUUUGAAGUCCAAUUUUGGUCCCAGGCGCUUACUCAGACCUAGUCACCAUCCAAAAUGUCCCUUACUCAGUUAGGAAACACUUGUAUGUUUGACAUUUGUACAAGAGUUAAUAAGAUCCGCCCUCAACUCCAAAAGACCUUUGAAAAGGUACCAAUGAAGGGUUUAGGAUCCUAUUAACUAAAGUAACCUUCAAUGGUUUACAAAACAAGAUAAGUACUUGAAAAUAAAUAAAACAAACAACAAUUAGUCAGAUUUACAAUAGUAUAAAUAUUUAAACAAAUAAGUAACCUAAAACCGAA